rnacentral:rRNA from 1 species
CCUACGGGAGGCAGCAGUGGGGGAUAUUGCACAAUGGCGGGAACCCUGAUGCAGCGACGCCGCGUGGGUGAAGGAGCGUUUCGGCGCGUAAAGCCCUAUCGGUCGGGGAGAAGAUGACGGUACCUGACCCAGAAGCCCCGGCCAACUACGUGCCAGCAGCCGCGGUAAUACGUAGGGGGCAAGCGUUAUCCGGAUUUACUGGGUGUAAAGGGGGCGCAGGCGGGAAUGCAAGCCAGGAGUGAAAGGCCGGGGACGAAACCCGGUACUGCUGUUGGAACUGCAUGGCUGGAGUACAGGAGGGGCAGGCGGAAUGCGUGGUGUAGCGGUGAAAUGCGUAGAUAUUAGGAGGAACACCGGUGGCGAAGGCGGCAUGCUGGCCUGUGACUGACGUUGAGGCCCGAAGGCGUGGGGAGCAAACAGGAUUAGAUACCCGGGUAGUC